UUAAAUUGAAGAGUUUGAUCAUGGCUCAGAUUGAACGCUGGCGGCAGGCCUAACACAUGCAAGUCGAACGGUAACAGGAAGCAGCUUGCUGCUUUGCUGACGAGUGGCGGACGGGUGAGUAAUGUCUGGGAAACUGCCUGAUGGAGGGGGAUAACUACUGGAAACGGUAGCUAAUACCGCAUAACGUCGCAAGACCAAAGAGGGGGACCUUCGGGCCUCUUGCCAUCGGAUGUGCCCAGAUGGGAUUAGCUAGUAGGUGGGGUAACGGCUCACCUAGGCGACGAUCCCUAGCUGGUCUGAGAGGAUGACCAGCCACACUGGAACUGAGACACGGUCCAGACUCCUACGGGAGGCAGCAGUGGGGAAUAUUGCACAAUGGGCGCAAGCCUGAUGCAGCCAUGCCGCGUGUAUGAAGAAGGCCUUCGGGUUGUAAAGUACUUUCAGCGGGGAGGAAGGGAGUAAAGUUAAUACCUUUGCUCAUUGACGUUACCCGCAGAAGAAGCACCGGCUAACUCCGUGCCAGCAGCCGCGGUAAUACGGAGGGUGCAAGCGUUAAUCGGAAUUACUGGGCGUAAAGCGCACGCAGGCGGUUUGUUAAGUCAGAUGUGAAAUCCCCGGGCUCAACCUGGGAACUGCAUCUGAUACUGGCAAGCUUGAGUCUCGUAGAGGGGGUAGAAUUCCAGGUGUAGCGGUGAAAUGCGUAGAGAUCUGGAGGAAUACCGGUGGCGAAGGCGGCCCCCUGGACGAAGACUGACGCUCAGGUGCGAAAGCGUGGGGAGCAAACAGGAUUAGAUACCCUGGUAGUCCACGCCGUAAACGAUGUCGACUUGGAGGUUGUGCCCUUGAGGCGUGGCUUCCGGAGCUAACGCGUUAAGUCGACCGCCUGGGGAGUACGGCCGCAAGGUUAAAACUCAAAUGAAUUGACGGGGGCCCGCACAAGCGGUGGAGCAUGUGGUUUAAUUCGAUGCAACGCGAAGAACCUUACCUGGUCUUGACAUCCACGGAAGUUUUCAGAGAUGAGAAUGUGCCUUCGGGAACCGUGAGACAGGUGCUGCAUGGCUGUCGUCAGCUCGUGUUGUGAAAUGUUGGGUUAAGUCCCGCAACGAGCGCAACCCUUAUCCUUUGUUGCCAGCGGUCCGGCCGGGAACUCAAAGGAGACUGCCAGUGAUAAACUGGAGGAAGGUGGGGAUGACGUCAAGUCAUCAUGGCCCUUACGACCAGGGCUACACACGUGCUACAAUGGCGCAUACAAAGAGAAGCGACCUCGCGAGAGCAAGCGGACCUCAUAAAGUGCGUCGUAGUCCGGAUUGGAGUCUGCAACUCGACUCCAUGAAGUCGGAAUCGCUAGUAAUCGUGGAUCAGAAUGCCACGGUGAAUACGUUCCCGGGCCUUGUACACACCGCCCGUCACACCAUGGGAGUGGGUUGCAAAAGAAGUAGGUAGCUUAACCUUCGGGAGGGCGCUUACCACUUUGUGAUUCAUGACUGGGGUGAAGUCGUAACAAGGUAACCGUAGGGGAACCUGCGGUUGGAUCACCUCCUUACCUUAAAGAAGC
rnacentral:rRNA from 1 species